rnacentral:sRNA from 1 species
GCAUAGUUCCGGUGGCGACUGCGGCGCAUGGCGGUGAGCGGUGUGGAGAAGACGCGCGGGUGGCUGGGCCUUGCAUUGUUGGCGGCUCUCGGUGACCCUCGUGCUACCCCCCUUUCUCCAGGCCCCGGGACAUCUUGCUGGGGAGGCAGCGGCGGCCCCAGGCCCGGGUACUCCCUGCGCGUCCCGCAGACCCCGGCUUCCCGGCCCGGUUUCCAGCGUCCGGAAUCCUUCCACUGUCUGUCUCUGCCCAGGGCAACCUACGUGCAGUAACGCUGACUCCAGAGCGCACCCGUUAGGCGAUGAAGGCGGCACAGCGUCGAAAAAACAAAAGAAUAAGAAGAAAACCCGGAACAGGCCCUCUGUGGCAAAUGGAGGCGAGAAGGCCUCAGAGAAACUCGCCCCAGAAGAAGUUCCCCUAAGCGCUGAGGCCCAGGCAAGGGCGGGCUUCAGUCGGGAAGGGUGGAAUCCAGCACAACAGUUGGCCCAGGAAUUGGCUUGGUGUGUGGAGCAACUGGAGCUGGGCCUCAAGAGGCAGAAACCCACCCCGAAACAGAAAGAGCAGGCUAUUGGAGCAAUCCGAACCCUGCGCAGCAAAAGAACGCCCCUGCCCCGGAAGAGGCAGCUGAUGCACUCUUUGUUUGGAGACUACAGGGCUCAGAUGGAAGCCGAACGGCUUGAGGCCCUGCGGGCUGUCAGAGCUGCUGCUUAUUCAGCCCAGGUGCAACCUGUAGAUGGAGCCACCAGAAAGAAGAGCCAAAGGGUCUGCAGGCCUCGCCCUAUAUGGAGAGCCAAAGCCACUCUGGACAUGCCUGAUGAAGAGUUUAGGUUCAAUUUCUUUUAGCGUCUCCCCCAACCUGAAACAAUCCCCCUCCCUUGGGGUGGUGUAGGGGUUUGUUUUGAGUGCAGAGCAUUUCCAGGACUUCUGUUGUCAGAGAACCCUGGAGUUGGUCUGUCCCUGGCUGGUCCAAGGAUUUGUAGCUGUUGUGAAGGUGUGAGACCAUCAGAUAGGCAAAAGACCCCGUUCGUUUUCUGAUGAAAUGUUCUCUCUUUCAGAAGAGAGAGAGAGGUGCAUUUAGAAAAUAUGCAAUAAAUUGAAGUGAGUGUUCAAAGUAUUGUAGAAGG